rnacentral:rRNA from 1 species
AACGAACGCUGGCGGCAUGCCUAACACAUGCAAGUCGAACGAGACCUUCGGCUCUAGUGUCGCACGGGUUCGUAACGCGUUGGAACCUGCCCUUAGGCUCGGCAUAACUCCCCGAAUGGGUUGCUAAUACCGGAUAAUGUCUUCGGACCACAGAUUUAUCGCCUUUGGAUGGGCCCGCGUUGGAUUAGCUAGUUGGUAGGGUAAAAGCCUACCAAGGCGACGAUCCAUAGCUGGUCUGAGAGGAUGAUCAGCCACACUGGGACUGAGACACGGCCCAGAAUCCUACGGGAGGCAGCAGUGGGGAAUAUUGGACAAUGGGCGAAAGCCUGAUCCAGCAAUGCCGCGAGAGUGAUGAAGGCCUGAGGGUUGUAAAGCUCUUUUACCCGGGAUGAUAAUGACAGUACCGGGAGAAUAAGCUCCGGCUAACUACGUG